UUAUCAGACUUGUUACAAGCUUGUUCUAACAAGUCUGAUACAGUCAAGAAUGUUACAUGCAAGGCUGACGACACAAUGUUAUAACAAUAUUGUUAUAUCAUGACUCCAUCGCACUUGUUGGAACAACCUUGCAACAAGUCUGAUAA